GGCGGUGAUGGGGCGCCGCCGAAGGGCGCAGGUGCCGUGUCCAUGACAACCGCGUUCCCCUCCGGGCGGGCGCCCGGACCUGAGUGGCCGCAAGCCGCGGGGACCGGUUUCUGAGACCCGGCUGGAGGCAAUAAAUGUAAAAAUGCAGGCCAAAGGAUUAUCAGACAAGUUCAUCUCUUUAACAUUGAGAGGAUUCAUUUAUAGAUUUUUUUACUCUGGAACAGCAUUUUCCAAACUCGACUCCAAGGUAGAAUAGUUCCUGACUGAAUUCUUCCAAUAAGAAUCAGACUCAGUGUGUUUCUUCUCUCAUAAUCAUGGGACUAGUCAACUACAAUCAUGAAUCACCCAGACUAAGUUAUGCCAAGGAUAAAGAUUACCCUUUAUCACCGGCAGUCCUCAUCCAAUCAACCAAAGGAUUGAAUAGAAUAAGACCAGCUUUCCAGGAAAAGAAGGAAUCCUCCAGUAAAUGCCUUCAGACUUCUGUACUAGUAACUCUCCUGGGUCUUCAGCACACUGGCCCACACUACAGAUAUUGCCAGCCUUCAUAAUCAUCUAUCUUGAUCCUUGCUGAUACAAAAUUUGCUACCAAGUGUGUGGUGCUGAAUCAAGGCAGAAGGAGGUCAGUGAAAAAGAGUCCCUCCCUCCUGGACUAGGAAGUUGGUGAUCUUUGUAAAGCAGUUAUAUAAGAGUUCCCUUACGACCACAAUAUAUUGGUAUGGGUACUAUCAGCAAAUUAUAAAUAGCUACAUCUGGACCUGAAGGAAAAGAAUGGAUGAAUCUUCAGGUGUCUCCUUUGGACAUGGACUCUCUUGCAGAGCAGAGAACUGAAGGGACAGAGAACUUAUGACCAUUUGGUGACUCUGGAUGACAGGUGAAAUAGAAGAUGGGACCAAAAAGAACAAAUGCUAGAAGCAGCUGCAUCAAUAUCAACGUGGCAACUAAUAGAGCAAUAUGAUAAGCCCGGAGCUGAGGACACAAAAUCAAAAGCCUAGGGAUAACUGAAUCAAUAAAGCCAGAAAUGUGUGAGAUGAUAAAUGGCAACUAGCAACUGACAUCCAGCUGUGGUGUUGGGGAAACAGAGGUAUUGGAGGCUGUGCUAAGAAAGCACAUGCCCUGUUUGCUGCUCCUCAGCUCCUGCAGGAUUCUUUCAUGCAGAACUGUGGGCUGAAAUUACCAGAACUUCCAAUUUAUGAUACACUUUGGAACUCCAGAUUUUGUGAGAAACAUCCCUAUUUUAAAAUAUUGACAACUAGUUCGAAUUAAAGCACUGUGUAAGCCUCUCGUAGGCAGGGCAACACACACACACACACACACACACACACACACACACACACACACAGAACAAAACUCACAAAAACUCCAACGUAUCUGAAUCCUGGAUUGGAAGGAUUUCCAUCAGUUUCCCACAUAUGCCUUAUGGGAAAUUUUUAUGGACUAAUAUUUCUCUCAGUUAAGAGAUCAUUUUCUGAAAAUCAGCACUUCCUACAAUUUCACUUAUUUCUUCUUUUGUUGCUGCUACACUCCAGAAGAUUUAAGUUUCAUAAUUUUCCUUAAAAAUGUCAAAAUGGCUCAGUCAGUAGAGCCUGUGAAUCUUGAUCUUGUGGUUGUGAGCUCAAGUCUCAUGUUCGGUGUAGAGAUUACCUAAAAAUAAAAUA